rnacentral:tRNA from 1 species
AGUUAAAAACUAUAGAAAAGUAUUAUGUUUUGAAAGCAUAAUUAAGAGGUUAAAAUCCUCUAUUAACUU